rnacentral:rRNA from 1 species
UGGGGAAUAUUGGACAAUGGGCGAAAGCCUGAUCCAGCCAUGCCGCGUGUGUGAAGAAGGUCUUCGGAUUGUAAAGCACUUUAAGUUGGGAGGAAGGGCAGUAAGUUAAUACCUUGCUGUUUUGACGUUACCGACAGAAUAAGCACCGGCUAACUCUGUGCCAGCAGCCGCGGUAAUACAGAGGGUGCAAGCGUUAAUCGGAAUUACUGGGCGUAAAGCGCGCGUAGGUGGUUUGUUAAGUUGGAUGUGAAAGCCCCGGGCUCAACCUGGGAACUGCAUCCAAAACUGGCGAGCUAGAGUACGGUAGAGGGUGGUGGAAUUUCCUGUGUAGCGGUGAAAUGCGUAGAUAUAGGAAGGAACACCAGUGGCGAAGGCGACCACCUGGACUGAUACUGACACUGAGGUGCGAAAGCGUGGGGAGCAAACA